UUUCCUCAGCCUUACUCCAGGGGCUUUUUUGCCUGUAUAGUGCCUUGGCAUUGCCUGAGGAUAAAUUAAAAAUAUGCUCAUAUCCCUCCCCAGUAGGACUCUGCAUUUCCUUUGGGGUCUACAAUUUGAGCAAACAUU
ensembl:snoRNA